rnacentral:rRNA from 1 species
UCAAAGAUUAAGCCAUGCAUGUCUAAGUACAAAGACUCGUACUCUAAAACCGCGGAUGGCUCAUUAUAACAGCUAUGAUUUGAGAGAUUUAAACUUGCUACAGGAUAACUGUGGUAAUUCUAGAGCUAAUAUUUAUAAAGAAAUGCCGUGACAAUGCAAAUUGAAGCGGCGGAUUUAUUAGAUCAAAAUCAACCUGCCUCGCAAGGGGCGGUCCUUUGAUGACUCUGGAUAACUUUUCACUGAUCGUACGACCUUUGUGUCGACGACAUAUCUCUUGAAAUGGCUGACCUAUCAACUUUCGAUGGUAAGAUCAAAGCUUACCAUGGUUGUAACGGGUAACGGGGAAUCAGGGUUCGAUUCCGGAGAGGGAGCCUGAGAAACGGCUACCACAUCCACGGAAGGCAGCAGGCGCGUAAAUUACCCAAUACCGGCUCGGUGAGGUAGUGACAAUAAAUAACAAUAUGAGCCCUAGUGGUUUCAUAAUUGAAAUGAGAACAUUUUAAAUACUUUAUCAAGUAUCAAUUGGAGGGCAAGUCUGGUGCCAGCAGCCGCGGUAAU